GACGAAAGUCUGACGGAGCAACGCCGCGUGAGUGAUGACGGCCUUCGGGUUGUAAAGCUCUGUUAAUCGGGACGAAAGGCCUUCUUGCGAAUAGUUAGAAGGAUUGACGGUACCGGAAUAGAAAGCCACGGCUAACUACGUGCCAGCAGCCGCGGUAAUACGUAGGUGGCAAGCGUUGUCCGGAAUUAUUGGGCGUAAAGCGCGCGCAGGCGGAUAGGUCAGUCUGUCUUAAAAGUUCGGGGCUUAACCCCGUGAUGGGAUGGAAACUGCCAAUCUAGAGUAUCGGAGAGGAAAGUGGAAUUCCUAGUGUAGCGGUGAAAUGCGUAGAUAUUAGGAAGAACACCAGUGGCGAAGGCGACUUUCUGGACGAAAACUGACGCUGAGGCGCGAAAGCCAGGGGAGCGAACGGGAUUAGAUACCCCGGUAGUCCUGGCCGUAAACGAUGGGUACUAGGUGUAGGAUGUAUCGACCCCUUCUGUGCCGGAGUUAACGCAAUAAGUACCCCGCCUGGGGAGUACGACCGCAAGGUUGAAACUCAAAGGAAUUGACGGGGGCCCGCACAAGCGGUGGAGUAUGUGGUUUAAUUCGACGCAACGCGA
rnacentral:rRNA from 1 species